UCGACACCCACCACUGUAAUUGUUGCUAUUUCUUCGUGACACAAGUCAACAUUUUAAUUUAUGUUACAAUUAACUAAAACAUAGAGCCUCUAGCAAUUUAGAUUUAUAUUUUUAAUUGUGCAAAAUGUUUGGAGAAACGUUGAGACUUCAUGACAGGUCAGAUUUCCUUUGAUCUUUCGAAGGAAACAAAGCUCACUUCCAUAACAAUGACAUUUAAUGGAAAAGCAAAGGUACAGUGAACAACACAAAGGGGAGGUGGAGGACGACGCAGAAGGCAUCGACGAGUCCACUCGGCAAAGCUGGAAUUCUUCAACGUCUCUCAAUACGUAUUGCAAGAAAAUAACGUGGUCCCUAACACCACACUUCAACCAGGAACCCAUGUGUACCCGGUCACAUGCCAAAUUCCACAAGGUAUAAUCUACUCAAUGAAGGUGGCGAUACACAGGCCCUGGCAUCUAACCAAGGAGUUAGAGAAGGAGUUCAACUUUGCCAGCCACAGAGAUGACAACCAACCACAUCUUCUGGCAGAAACAUUUUUGAACCUGGACGCCAUGAGUAGGCUACCCCUUUUCUUUUCAGAUUCCUACAAAGUAAGUUCUAUUCACUCCCUAUAAUUCACUUUGAAUUCAUUCAAAGUGAAACUCUUCUGCACAAUUGAGAGCAUCCUGUCAGGCUGUAUCACCGCCUGGUAUGGCAACUGCACCGCCCACAACCGCAGGGCUCUCCAGAGGGUGGUGCAGUCUGCCUUAACGCAUCACCGGGUGCAAACUACAUGCCCUCCAGGACACCUACAGCACCCGAUGUCACAGGAAGGCCAGAAAGAUCAUCAAGGACAACAACCACCCGA